CCCUGGGAAACAAAGCCUCCCCUCACUGCUGAAACAGUGUUAAUUAGGGGGGGGUCUGGAUUAUAUCCUCCUCGUCAGGACCUUGGGAAAUAACACCUAUUGUCACUGCUGGGGCAGUGCUAAUUGCUGGAACAACGCCUGUUGGUCAGGGCCCUGAGAAAGAAGGGCAGAACCCGAGGAAUCAACACAUUUGUCAGCAGAAACCGCAACAGUAAAGAUAAGGGAGAAAAGCAGCCUGCCUAGGAACAAUGAUGAGACCCAAUAGGGAGCAGGAGACCCCAGACCCCAAAAUUACUAUUGGUCUGAACUACCGCGUGAGGGGUGGGAAACUUAAUUUGAAAAAGCUAUAAUUGCCCAGGGAUUUCUUUGUUCGGGGUCCCUCUUUGGAGGCACCCAACUCGAGCUGUAACUACUGCACGCGUGUCAUUACAAUUUAUUUAUUUAAUUUGCCUUGAUUUGGCUCCGAACUUUUCAGCGGGAACCUAGGGUCGGACCCUGCUCGAGUUGUAAUUACUGCAUGCGCAUCGCUAAAAUUUACACCCAGGGUGAAGAGGGCCAACAGGACGCCGCUGGAUCCACGGUGUGCAUGUCCUGGCUCUGCUGGAUGCAUCUUGUGUUUCCAAGGAAAGGAAGGAACGUUACAUGCACAGGGGGAAAGGCAGCGACGAUGCCCUUCAGCUGUGUGGAUUUAAAGUCUGACCAUAAUUAAUGUGCAGUUGGUACUAAAUCCUAAGAAACCAGAUAUCCUUGGUCAUAGCUACGAGGCUGCAGGGACAUCAAAAGAUGACUACGGAGCAGCGAUUCUAAUAGGAAGCUGAGCACUAAUGAUUGAAAGGAAAUACAUACAUCAAGAGGGCACCUUUAGGGCUGGCGUACCUGGCUGUGUCUCCCGAAGAAGUUCAUGUGGCAGCUGCCUCCUCCAUUAAAUCUCCAGAGGACCCCAAAGUUACUCUAGCACUUGCUUCUGAUUUCCUCCCCUGGCUUGCCGUUAAGCAGGGACAGUCUGCUGCUGGAGGAGCUGCUGCCGGAGCUGCCGAGAGCUCACGCGGGAAAAUCCUUCCCUUCCCCAGCAAGGAUUUCCUUCUGUCUCCAUCCCCUCUGAAAGGAAGACAUUUCAGACCUGGAUUAUUAGUACAUCUACCUUCCUAAGCAACGUUUUUUCUGAAGAACAGCCCAUCUUAUUCACAAAGACAGAAAAAUCCGGAAAAAUAAAUUAAGAUUUAGAUUUUUAACUUGUGAUCAAUUUGGGAAACUAGAUGCCAGCUGAAUUUCUAUUUGAUAUUCACAUUACAUUCAAGGUGCAAAGAAAUGGAAGCCACAACAGCGAUAACACAGAGCUAAUGUAUAUGUCAGCUCUAAUAUUACACCUGUACUGCUGGAAUUCUUGGUUCAAUAAAAUCUCUUUAUGUUUAA